UGAGGAAUUUUCGUCAAUGGCCGCAAGGCUGAACGAGCAACGCCGCGUGCAGGACGACGGCCUUCGGGUUGUAAACUGCUUUUCUCUGGGAAGAGAACGGACGGUACCAGAGGAAGAAGCCCCGGCUAACUACGUGCCAGCAGCCGCGGUAAUACGUAGGGGGCGAGCGUUGUCCGGAGUUACUGGGCGUAAAGGGCGUGCAGGCGGUUUUCUAAGUUCGGAGUGACAGUUCCCGGCUCAACUGGGGAAGGCCUACCGAAAACUGGAGAACUUGAGGGUCAGAGAGGGACAUAGAAUUCCGGGUGGAGUGGUGAAAUGCGUAGAUAUCCGGAGGAAUACCAAAGGCGAAGGCAGUGUCCUGGCUGACAUCUGACGCUGAGGCGCGAAAGCUAGGGGAGCGAACAGGAUUAGAUACCCCCGUAGUCC
rnacentral:rRNA from 1 species